rnacentral:tRNA from 1 species
GGUAAAAUGGCUGAAGUUAGGUGAUAAAUUGUAAAUUUAUUAAUGGGAGUUAUCUCUUUUACCA